rnacentral:rRNA from 1 species
UACGUAGGGGGGCGAGCGUUGUCCGGAUUCAUUGGGCGUAAAGAGCUCGUAGGCGGCUUGGCAAGUCGGAUGUGAAAACUCCAGGCUCAACCUGGAGCCGCCAUUCGAUACUGCUAUGGCUAGAGUCCGGUAGGGGAGUGUGGAAUUCCCGGUGUAGCGGUGAAAUGCGCAGAUAUCGGGAGGAACACCGAUGGCGAAGGCAGGUCUCUGGGCAUUAACUGACGCUGAGGUGCGAAAGCGUGGGGAGCAAACAGG